CCUCACAGCGUUGCGGCACUAAAGAGACAUUAUGAAGGUAGUUAUUAAAUGAAGUACCGAACACCGAGAAGUCAUCCAUAAAUACCUCCAUGAUGUCUUCAAUCAUGUCUGCAAAGAUUGCCAUCAUGCAUAUCUGAAAAGUGGCUGGUGCAUUGCGUAACCCGAAUGGCAUCCGUCUGUAAGCAAAAGUUCCAUAUGGACAGGUGAAGGUUGUCUUUUCCUGAUCUUCUGGUGCUAUAGCAAUCUGGUUGUAGCCCGAAUAUCCAUCAAGAAAGCAAUAGUGAGAGUAGCCAGCUAAUCUGUCCAACAUUUGAUCUAUGAACGACAGUGGGAAAUGGUCCUUUCUAGUUGCCUUGUUCAGUUUCCUGUAAUCAAUGCACACCCUCCAGCCAGUUACUGUUCUUGUUGGAAUUAGCUCAUUGCUGUCGUUCUUAACUACUGUCAUCCCUCCUUUCUUCGGUACCACUUGCACUGGGCUGACCCAUUCACUGUCUGAAAUGGAAAAAAUGAUUCCUGCCUUCAAUAGCUUUAGAAUCUCCGCUUGAACCACUUCUUUCAUUGCUGGGUUUAACCUUCUUUGAUGUUCGAUGGAUGGCUUGAAAGACUUCCUUGAGGAUUUUAUGCAUGCAGAUUGUAGGACUUAUCCCAUUGAUGUCAGUUAUCGACCAUCCCAAAGAGGCCUUAUGAUCCCUCAACACUUUCAAUAAUCUAUCCUCUUCGUCUAUGGUGAGUGAUGAAGAAAUAAUUACUGGAAAUGCAGACUUAUCCCCCAGGAAUGCAUAGCGAAGGUGAUCUGGUAGUUGCUUCAGUUCAAUCUUACUGCUUUCAUUGCUUUCUUUGUCAUCUGCUUCCUUUGACUGUUGAAUAUCCUCACAUUGUGAUGGGUUUUCCACAACUGAUGUAGACUCAAGAGCCAAUAUGUAAUCAACCAAAUCCUUGCUCCCGAUGUACUCUCCAAAAGUGCUAAUAUCAUCCUUUGUUGUACUAAACAUCAUACAUUGCUCUAGAGGAUCUUCAAUACAUAAUUUCUCAUCUCUCACAGCAGAAUCAAUGAAGUCAAUCNCCUGUUGCCUAUAAAUACCCUCUCCACAUUUCAUUUUUCACUUUUUACUCUCAGUAAACUUCUCCUGCUAAUCGUUGGGAUCAGAACUUUGAGCUUUUAAGCGUCGACUUUAAGGUAAGACCUCGAGUUUUUAAGUUAUUCUUUAGGCACUUUUUUACCUAGGUCAGGAUGUCUAGCAGUAGUAGUACUGAGUCUUAGUCCUCCUCCUCGAGCAGUACUCCCGAGGACAUAGGAUGCUCGAGCACAAAGUAUCCCGACCCCCUUUAGGUACCCCGAGGUUCCUUGUAAAUUUAAAGAGCAUCUAGCAAUGUCG
rnacentral:lncRNA from 1 species